AGUUAAGCAGGGUUUCACCAUGUUGGCCAUGCUGGUCUUGAACUCCUGGCCUCCAGCAAUCCUCCCGCCUUGGCCUCCCAUAGUGUUGGGAUUCGAGGUGUGAGCCACUGCGGCCGGCUAUGCAGGCAUUUUCCAAAGGCCUCUUACCUCUCUGUCUCUUCCCAGGAGUAGUGAGUGUGCCCAGCCAGCAGUCAGCAAUCAACUAGCCCAUGGUGGUCAGGAGGCUCUGGGGAGUCCCAAGUCUGCCCAGAAGGGCUAGCACUUUAGGCCACUGAUGUAGUGGGGCCCCCACCCAAUUCUUUUUCAUUGAUUGCAAUGUGCUGCCAUUACUUCUAUAAUGUAAGUGCUUAUGAUCUUCCGACCUCUCUGUGUCUGACCAUUAGCUAGAGGGGAUAUUCAGCAAUGUUGGGAGACAUUUCUGGUUGUCACAGUGGCCGGCAUCUAGUGGGUGGAGACCAGGGAGCUGCCAAACAUCUCACAAUGCCCAGGGCAGCUCCCGCCCCUGCCACACACACACAACAAAUAAGUAUCUGGCCCCACAUGGCAACAGUGAUAAGGCUAAGAAACCAUGGUCUGUAGAGAGCCCCACAAAUCAGACUCUCAGCACAGGAGGGAAUACGUGCACUGGGGACUGGCAUCCGGAGAGGGGCAGUGAUUUGCCCGAGGACACACAGGAAGCUAUGAUACAGAUCAGUGCUCAGACUCAGGGGUCCCAUCUGGUGAGUUCGUUUUUCUUCUUCCUUUUAAAAAAUCUAAUGGUGGUUUUUAGUAACUUGUAAAUAACUUUUGUCAGUUAAUGUUCUUUUAACGUCAAGGCGGUACAAUGAGGGGCAUCUGCCCCGGAAAGCACCGUGGUUGCGGACACAGAUGCAGGCAGAAGGGAAGUCAUGGUAGCUUGUGAACAGGGAGAGAUUUCAGCUGUGGCCAGCCCGGUAGCCCUUGCACAGGUGGGAGUGUCCUGUUGGGGCCCUGCCACCUGGCAGGUCUCUCUGGGGCUCGGCCAGAUGAAGGAGGAAGGCUUCACUAUCCAGAUUUGCCCCAGGGUAAGCGGCCUUGUGGGAACCAGGCACCAGCCGCAGGCAGGGACACCACGGGAUCUUGGCAGGGGACAAGAGCAAAGCAGGGGGGCGGGAGAGCUGGAGUCACUCCAGAAGGUGAGAGUAAGGGACCUGGUUCUCUGCAAGAACAGCAUUGUUCGGGGCCCCUUACUCAUGCCUCCUCUCCCGGCAACCAAGAAGGAAUGAAUGGGUACAUGAACAAAUGAACGAUGGAUGAAUGAAUGCAUGGCGGAGGCGGCAGGCCCUGAACCGCUCAGUGGGAUUCAGUGCAGAGAUGUGCAGACUUCUUAGACAGGAAGAAUCCCCUGACACCCUCCCUGGAGAUUUCGAUUUAAUGGGUCUGUAUAGGGCCUGGCCGUCCUGGAUUUUUGGAUUGGGCACAUCUGGGGAAUACUCGGAGUGGAGCGGAAACACAGUGGAAGGUAUAUGCAGGCAGACAGCCACACCUGGCCGGGCACUCCCAUGCUUGUGACCUGGGCGCACACCGCCCUGCACGCUGCUUUGCUGGUGGGUCGGAUGGUAUGAUAGUCAGUACCUUAUAGGGCUGUCACUGAGUGCCCGUGUGUGCCUGGUCACGCCCGGUCCCUUGGUCCUCAGUAGGUGCCAACAGUCACAACUACAGUAACAAUGACAGGGUCAUGCGGAUCCAGACACUGCACUGCGCUUUCAGCUGACCAGCUGUGUGACCUGGGCAAGCCCCUUAACCUCUCUGAUCCUGAGCUCCCUCCUCUGUCAAAUGGAAUUAAGAAUACUCUCAUUGAGGAGCUUCAUGAUGAGAGGCUGCCUGAAUACCUUGACUCACGGCCCCUCCCUCCAUCUUCAAAGCCAGCCACAGCCUGUUUUCCUCACGUGGAUUCCCUCUGACCUCCACAUGUAAUGUAUUCACAGAUCCUAGGGACCAGGGCGUGGACAUCUUUGGGAGGUCAUUAUUCUGCCCGCCACAAUAGAGUUGUUGGGAAGAUUAAACAACAUAAUCUACAUGACGUAUUUUGACGCACGCUUGGCACCCGGGAAAUACUCAGGCCGUUCUAAGCACUGCUCCUACACGGUUCAGCUCCUGGAAAAGUCCAGGCGGGCUUUUGGCACAGACUGAAGCUAUCGAGUGUGAGGAGGGACCUAGUCCAGUCGCCUCUUUUCAGAGAUGAUAUAUUUGAAGCCCAGGGAGAGACGAUCAUUUGCCCAAGGUCACACAGCCAGUCAAGGAGGGGUUGCUGCCUUGCCAGCCCCAGACCUACCCGGAAGAUGCUGGGUCAUGUAGGGGUGGGCAUUUGUCUUCCU